UAUUGAUAUGAGGCCUCCUAUGAAGGUCUGAUAGAAUUCUACACUAAACCUAUCUGGUCCUAGAUUAUCUAGCUCAAAAGCAGUGGAAGAUAACAAAAUAAGAACAUAAAUUGUAUGGGUAUCAACUUGGAAACAGUCUGAGAAGAGUUGGGGAAGGGAAAACAACACAUCAUUCAAUAUAUCAUAUGAAAAACAUUUUUAAAUAAAAAAUCAUGUAUUUCUACAUAAUGUGGAAGUAAUAAAAAGAUGGAUUUGAA